AGUGAACGCUGGCGGUGGGCCUAACACAUGCAAGUCGAACGGCAGCACAGUAAGAGCUUGCUCUUACGGGUGGCGAGUGGCGGACGGGUGAGGAAUACAUCGGAAUCUACUUUUUCGUGGGGGAUAACGUAGGGAAACUUACGCUAAUACCGCAUACGACCUACGGGUGAAAGCAGGGGAUCUUCGGACCUUGCGCGAUUGAAUGAGCCGAUGUCGGAUUAGCUAGUUGGCGGGGUAAAGGCCCACCAAGGCGACAAUCCGUAGCGGGUCUGAGAGGAUGAUCAGCCACACUGGAACUGAGACACGGUCCAGACUCCUACGGGAGGCAGCAGUGGGGAAUAUUGGACAAUGGGCGCAAGCCUGAUCCAGCCAUACCGCGUGGGUGAAGAAGGCCUUCGGGUUGUAAAGCCCUUUUGUUGGGAAAGAAAAGCAGCAGGUUAAUACCCCGCUGUUCUGACGGUACCCAAAGAAUAAGCACCGGCUAACUUCGUG
rnacentral:rRNA from 1 species